rnacentral:rRNA from 1 species
GACGAACGCUGGCGGCGUGCUUAACACAUGCAAGUCGAACGGAAAGGCCCUGCUUUUGUGGGGUGCUCGAGUGGCGAACGGGUGAGUAACACGUGAGUAACCUGCCCUUGACUUUGGGAUAACUUCAGGAAACUGGGGCUAAUACCGGAUAGGAGCUCCUGCUGCAUGGUGGGGGUUGGAAAGUUUCGGCGGUUGGGGAUGGACUCGCGGCUUAUCAGCUUGUUGGUGGGGUAGUGGCUUACCAAGGCUUUGACGGGUAGCCGGCCUGAGAGGGUGACCGGCCACAUUGGGACUGAGAUACGGCCCAGACUCCUACGGGAGGCAGCAGUGGGGAAUAUUGCACAAUGGGCGGAAGCCUGAUGCAGCAACGCCGCGUGCGGGAUGACGGCCUUCGGGUUGUAAACCGCUUUCGCCUGUGACGAAGCGUGAGUGACGGUAAUGGGUAAAGAAGCACCGGCUAACUACGUGCCAGCAGCCGCGGUGAUACGUAGGGUGCGAGCGUUGUCCGGAUUUAUUGGGCGUAAAGGGCUCGUAGGUGGUUGAUCGCGUCGGAAGUGUAAUCUUGGGGCUUAACCCUGAGCGUGCUUUCGAUACGGGUUGACUUGAGGAAGGUAGGGGAGAAUGGAAUUCCUGGUGGAGCGGUGGAAUGCGCAGAUAUCAGGAGGAACACCAGUGGCGAAGGCGGUUCUCUGGGCCUUUCCUGACGCUGAGGAGCGAAAGCGUGGGGAGCGAACAGGCUUAGAUACCCUGGUAGUCCACGCUGUAAACGGUGGGUACUAGGUGUGGGGUCCAUUCCACGGGUUCCGUGCCGUAGCUAACGUUUUAAGUACCCCGCCUGGGGAGUACGGCCGCAAGGCUAAAACUCAAAGGAAUUGACGGGGCCCCGCACAAGCGGCGGAGCAUGCGGAUUAAUUCGAUGCAACGCGUAGAACCUUACCUGGGUUUGACAUGGAUCGGGAGUGCUCAGAGAUGGGUGUGCCUCUUUUGGGGUCGGUUCACAGGUGGUGCAUGGCUGUCGUCAGCUCGUGUCGUGAGAUGUUGGGUUAAGUCCCGCAACGAGCGCAACCCUUGUUCACUGUUGCCAGCACGUUAUGGUGGGGACUCAGUGGAGACCGCCGGGGUCAACUCGGAGGAAGGUGGGGAUGACGUCAAGUCAUCAUGCCCCUUAUGUCCAGGGCUUCACGCAUGCUACAAUGGCUGGUACAGAGAGUGGCGAGCCUGUGAGGGUGAGCGAAUCUCGGAAAGCCGGUCUCAGUUCGGAUUGGGGUCUGCAACUCGACCUCAUGAAGUCGGAGUCGCUAGUAAUCGCAGAUCAGCAACGCUGCGGUGAAUACGUUCCCGGG